AAAAACUAAAAGUGCAGUAAACUUGAAGAAGAAAAUAGGAGAAAAUAACUACUAAGUUAAGAAAGGAAAAGGCUAGAAACCUAAAAAUGGUGAGGGAAUAAAAGAUAUUCACAAAAAGAUUAUAAAAGAUCCCUUCUUUAGUUGCGGCAUAAGGAUGCCUUAAACACAUCAGAUUCCCUAACCUAAUAUUGACAAAAAUACCUUUAAAGAAUGUGAUAUGACUUAAGCUGAGUUUGGACACAAAAUUGCCCCUGUAGUUUUUUGCACUCGUCAGACUUCAGUGUCGCCACACCCAAGCUUUGGUGUUGCGACAUUCGCAGCUGUGGGUAUGAGCUUGGCUUGGAGGUUCUUGGUGUACGCUUGGAGAACUCGGUGUCGCUACACAAGGCACUGGGUCCUUUCACUUCAACAUUUGGCUUGGAGUUACAACCUUAAGGGCUUGUGGUUGAGACUCGGUGUCGCGACUUCAGUGACAAGUUACUCCAACUUGAGUUUUCGUUGAAGUUCACAUCUUUGAGGUGGUGAAUGGUCAAUGUCUCAACACACAUGCACCUGUGUCUCGACCCCCACAACAGUUGAGGUCCUCUUUAAUGUUUGGCCUUAAUCAUCUCCCUACACAAGCUCAAAUCAAUUAUUAGUCUCUUCAUAGCAUAGUUUUGCCAUUUUGGGUUUUAAAAGAAGUAAAAUGUAAGAAAAGCUAUCAUUAACACUAAAAUCUAAUAAUUGAUAAAAAGCAUUAAAAAAAACUCAUAAGCUAUUUGAAUACAAACUCAUUAAGUAUUUUGAGAGAGUAUAAUUUUAUAUAUUAAAUUACGACAAAUCAAUUAUCAAAUUUAGAAACUAAAUCUUACUUUUUCCCUUAGAUUUACUAUAUUUUAUAUCAAUUUAGUUUUAGAUCAAGUUUAUUUAAUUAUGUAUUAUAUUCUUUAAUUGAAAGUACUUUAAAUUCGACCAAUUAACCAAAAAAGGCCUAUUUCUAAAAAAUUAUGGAAAUGGGUUAGUUUUUUCAAAAAUAACAGGAAUUGUCCGAUUUUACAAAAACACACUGAAUUGGCGUCGUUUUCAAGGGAAAUGUAGAAAAGCGCAUCCAGUUCAGCAUUUUUUUUCCUGAUGUCAUGUAAAACGCGCUGAUGUGGAAGCGUUUUACAAAAAAGUGUCCACGUGGGCGCACUUUUGCCUGUGCUCCAACGGCUAUUUGAACUAGCCGUUGGACCCCCCAAUGGUCCCAAAAUAAGUAUAAACCCCCCACACAUUUUUCACACACAAUUCUCACAAAUUCUCUUCUAACUUCUCAAAAUUUCUCACAAUUCUAAAAAGACUUUCAAAUUAUUAUCCUAAAUUCUAUUUUUAUCUUAUUAUUUUUUAUUAGUAAUUCCAAGAAAUGAUAUUUUUAUUAAAAAUUUGUUCGUGUUCAAUUUAACAAUGGUCGGGUCUCUAAUCUGUCUUGAUGACAAGCACAUCUUCGUCAAUUACUUGCAAAUGAUAAGAAUAAUUUUAAUUUUUUUUAUUUCUUAGUUAUAAUCGAACUUAAUAUUUUUUAUUACUUUUAUGUAAAUAAAUGGAAGAUAGAAUUUUGCAAUGUCAUAUUCUUAAUCUACCCGAUCCUCCAUCACCGUUGAUCAAAACAUACUUGAAGGAAGUUGGAUUUUUCCACCGUUGAUCCUAAAGGUCUCAAGUUCAAAUUUUGUAAAUGAAGAAAAUAUUGUAGAAAGAACUUUGUCUCUAGUUAAGGAUUUGAUUCAACUCAAUUUCGGAUUUAAUCAAAUUUUAAUAUGAUUGUCAACCUCCAAAAAAUUGUGCUCGAGGCAUCUAUGCUCGAUUUUAUUCUCAGGUUUUAUCUCCUGAUUUUGUGAAGAGAUCUUCAGAAAGUCAUGGUAAGAACGUCUCACCCGUCAAAUGCUCACAUUUCCUUAAAAUAAUGUCUCAAAUUUAAAUUUUAUCAAUGGGGAUAAUAAUAUUAAAUUUUGUUGUCUCGUUUAAAAAUAUAAGUCAACUCGAUUUUAAAUUUACUCACAAGUCACAACCUAAUACGCCCAAAACUCAUUUUAGGGUCCAUUUGUUUACAUGUAAAAAGUUUUAUGGAAAAUAUUUUUUGUACUUUCUUAUGUUUGUUUUACAGAAAAUAGCUUGGUCAACGGAAAAUGAUUUACAGGUUAACGUAAAAUAAGCCUUUUUUUUUUGUAAAAUGACUUACCAUUUUAAAUAGUGUAAGUCAUUUUUCAAAAAAAGAGCUCCUCCAUGGGUAAUUUUAUUUUUAUAUAAAAAUUAAUUUAAAUCUAACUUAACAUUAUUAUAUUGAUAAUAAAAUUCAUUUUUAUUUUUAAAAAUAUUUAAAAUUAUUAAAAUAUAAUAUUAUAUUUUCAAUAUUAUUAAAUGUACAUAUUUAAUUAUUUAUAUUAAGUCAUAUAUAAUAAUUUAUUUAAUAUUUCAAUUUUAUUUUAAUAAUAAAUUUUAAAAAUAAUAUUUUUUAAAUAAUAUUCUUCACAUAUUAUUGAAAAUAUUUAAUAUUAAUAUUUUAAUAAUAAAUGUUUUGUAGUAUAAAUGUUAAAAUAUGUUAUAAGUCUACGAACUCUUUACAAAACUACAAUUUAGUCUCUACACUUUUAUUUUCAAGAAUUUAAUCCCUCUACUUUUCAGAUUUGAAAAUCAGGUCCAAUUGUAGACAUUGUUAAAUUUUUUUUGUCAAUUCUGUUGAUGUCACAUUUUUAAAUAAAAAAAUGCACUUUUGGCAUGUAACUAAAAAAAUAACAUUAUAAUAAAUUUGAAUUUAACAAAGUAUUUUUAAUAUAUGCAAAAAUAAUAUAAAAUAUAAAAUUAUAGAUAUAAAAUAAACUCAAUUAAAUAAUGAAGAUAAGAAAAUAUCAAAUGUAUGUUUGUUUCAUUGAAAAUAGUUUUUAUGAAAUAUUUUUUAAAAAAUCUGUCAAAUAAAAAAAAUAUUUUACACUGAUUCAUUAAAAAAAUCAAAAAAUAUUAAUUUGUUAAAAAUAAAUAAUUUUUCAAAAACAAUUUUUUUAAGUCAUUUUCAAUAAAAUAAAUAUAUUCUUAAUUUACAUUAAUUGGGAAUACGGAAGGGAGAAAAGAUAGUUGGAAUAAUUUAAAUGUAAAGGGCAAAUUAUGUUUAAUUAAUGAUAAUUAAAUACAUAAAUAAUUAAGAAGGUGGGUACAGGUUCAAUUAAUUAGCAGUGAAAGCGACGCCGCCACUGCCGAAGAAACUGUACCAACUUUGUUUAAAAUCUCGUCAGCUUUGAUUUAAACACUGUACCAACCAACCGUUUACGUUAUGUAUGAGCUGCAUAUGCUUAAAAUGGCAUUUUUUUACUCUUUUAGAAACAUAAUAUUAUUUUAAAUUUUAAAAAUAAAUUUUAAGUCCAAUUCUAUAGAAAAUCCCUGGAUUAUGCAUUUUAGGUAGAUUUAGUCCCUAAGCUAUAGUUUCAUCAUUUUCAUCCUUUUUACUUUUUCCAAAUAUGGGUGAAGUAUCAUAGAAACCCAUGUACUAAGAUUUAAAUUGCAUUUUACCUCAUUUAUUAAAAAAUUAAAUAAAUUAAUUAUGUACAUUAAAUCUAUGAGCAAAUCGAUCAUUUUUAUUAAAAUUUUCAUCCAUUUGUACUAUUAAAAAUUUAUGUAACUGAUGGAAUAGUCAAAAACUAACAUGUGGCAUGUUAUGUAUAUCUCGUGCUAAUGUAUAUAGACUAAUUUUUAACGUAUGAAGAUUAAUUUGCUCAUAUUUUGAAUAGAUAAGAAAAUAUAAUUAUUAAUACCGGAACUUCCAUGAUACUAUUACUUACAAAAUGUAUAUUUUUAAUCUUGAAGUCAAUUUUUUUUCAUUAAUUUCAUUAAAUAAUUUCACGUGACUUUUUUUAAAACAUAUGAUUAUAUUAUAUAUAUAACCUUAACAUCAUUUUACAACUGGACAAAUUUUUUACAAAUUUAAAAAAGAUUGUAUAAUAUUUGUUCAAGUAUACAAAAAUGCAGAUGUGUGACUAUAUGAUCAAAAAAAUAAACUACGUUCCUUCAAAAUAAAUAAAUAAACUACAUAAAACAUGCAAUUUGAAGAUUCAAAUUAUAAAUAGGACUAGAUCAACAAAAAAUGCACAAUGCAAGCACCUGCCAUAAAAUUUCACCUAAAUUUUGUUAAUGGUUAUUAAAAAUAAAAAACGAAACUUGGGAAAUAAUUAAUUCUCUUAAUACUGUUCAUACUAAAUUAUCUAAAGCAAACUAUAUCAGAAAUGAAAUCCAAAUAAUUUGGCACUAAAAGAAACACUUACUAAUCUCAUUAUUGACCACUAUUACUCAAUGUUUUCUUUAUAAGCACUGCUAAUUUAUCAUAUAUAUAUAUGAUAUAAGUAAUUAGUAACGAAAUCAAUUAUAUAUUAGCAAGGUAAAAGAAUGCAACCAUAAUAUAAAAAUAAAGAAAAAAAAUUUUCAUUUGUUGCUGAACUAAAAAGCUAUAAAUAAUAGCUAAAUAUUAAGAACAAAGUUACAUAUAUAUUAUAUAUUUCUAAAUUAUCAUUAUCACGAAAAUAAUCACGUAAAAAUUGAAUUUAAAAAAAUCCCCAGAAAACAAGAACAUGAAAGAAGGAAGAAGAAAGUGCCUGGCUUUCCCAUGUACGCCGCCAAAAAAAGCUUCUUUUUCUUUUUGCAAUAAAUUGUUGGCCUUGAAACGAUGACCAAUACGUCGUUGUAAGCAUUAUUUCCAGAAAAUUAUUAUUGCUUUUGAAGAUGGCAUUAUGAUGAUACUACGGGUCCCUUUCAAAGCAAGAGCGGUGACCUCGUCGUCAUGUUUCUUCCUCUUCUUCAUGAUUUGUUGGGCUCAGGCGACUGUAAUAAGGAAAAUUAGAGGGAAAAGAAAGGAUAGAGUGAAGGGUUUUUGAAUAGGGCUUAACGCAAAAGAAGAAGAAGAAAAUAUAAAAUAUAAAUAGGGUGAAGGAAAGUUAUAGGCAGGGGCAAAGGGAAAAUAAGGGGUGUUUCCCUAGAAGAUGACGACUCCGUUUCCCGUUUACUCUUGCUUUUAUUUAUUUUUUUCAAUUUUUCUAAACAAUUAAUUAAAU
rnacentral:lncRNA from 1 species